rnacentral:rRNA from 1 species
CAGCGCCACGAGUGGCAAUCGCGUUUAUUGGGCCUAAAGCGUCCGUAGCCGGUUCAGCAAAUCUUUUGUGAAAUCGUCAGGCUUAACUUGACGGAUUGCAGAAGACACUACUGAACUCGGGACUGGGAGGAGUCAGAAGUAUUUUGGGGGGACCGGUAAAAUGGUAUAAUCCCCUGAGGACUACCGAUGGCGAAGGCAUCUGACCAGAACGGAUCCGACGGUGAGGGACGAAAGCCAGGGGAGCAAACCGGAUUAGAUACCCGAGUAGUCC